ACCUUCCAAUAACAAUUACAAAUUUUUUAAUUCAAAACCCUUAUAUAAAUUAGUAUCCAAAAAAAACUUUAAUUUAAACAACAGUACUGUAAAGGAAUAAAUGAAGUACAGUAAAGUAUAGAUUAACACUAGUACCUUUUGCAUUAUGGUUUAACGAGAUUAUUUUAUAUUAUAAUAUCACUAGAAAAAAAAGGAGCUAUAUAUAAACUUUAUUAAUGUAGCAAAAUUAAAUUAAUGAUUUAUUUAUAGAAGUUAAAUGCAUGCCGUCUUUUUUGAUAGCUAGUUAAAAGAGAAAAGUAUAUAAGUACUAAUUUAAAUUACUAAAAAUUAUUUUUUAAUAUACCGUAAUUUAAAUUACAAUUUUAUUAGGCUAAGCUAAUAAAAUUUAAAAGAAAAUUGUUAACCUUUAAUUAAUGUAAGCUUAAUAGUAGCUAUCAUAUUAAUAGUUCUUUAACAAAUAAAAUCAAAAAUUAUACCUAAUUUCUUUUUAAUAUCUUUUCUUAUUUAAAAUUUAAAAACUUAAAUUAGUUUAUGUUAAAAUGAGUAUUAAAAUCAAAUAUAGUUUAUAAAGCCCAAGAAUAAAAACUUUUAAACAAAAAAAUAUUAUAAAUGUAAAAAAGGAACUCGGCAAAUUCUAGCCCCGCCUGUUUAUCAAAAACAUCGCUCUUUGAAAAUUAUUAAUAAAGAGUCGUGCCUGCCCAGUGAAAUUUUAAACGGCCGCAGUACCCUGACUGUGCUAAGGUAGCAUAAUAACUUGUUUUUUAAUUGAAAGCUUGUAUGAAUGGCUUGACGUGGGCAAGACUGUCUCUAUUACAUUAAAUAAAAAUUAAUUUUUAAGUGAAGAAGCUUAAAUAAUCUCAAAAGACGAAAAGACCCUAUCGAGCUUUAAAUUUAUGUAUAAAUAAAAUCUUUUAGAAAAACAAAAUUUAUAUCCAUUUUUAGUUGGGGCGACAAAAGAACAAAUAAAGCUUCUUUUUAUUAUGUAAAUUUAUAAAUUUAUAGAGCCAUAAUUAUGAUUAAAAGAAAAAGCUACCGUAGGGAUAACAGCAGUUAUUUUUUCAGAGAGUCCUAAUCGAAGAAAAAGUUUGCGACCUCGAUGUUGGAUUAAAGUAACUUUUAAGUGCAGAAGCUUAAAAUAAGUGGGUCUGUUCGACCCUUAAACCUUUACAUGAUCUGAGUUCAGACCGGCGUAAGCCAGGUUGGUUUCUAUCUUUGAGCUAAUUAUUUAUGUUUUAGUACGAAAGGACCAAACAUAACAAAUAAUUUGCCCACUAU
rnacentral:rRNA from 10 species